UACGUAGGGGGCGAGCGUUGUCCGGAAUUACUGGGCGUAAAGGGCGCGUAGGCGGCCACCGCAAGUCGAUUGUGAAAUCUCCGGGCUUAACCCGGAAAGGUCAACCGAUACUGCGGGGCUAGAGUGCAGAAGGGGCAACUGGAAUUCUCGGUGUAGCGGUGAAAUGCGUAGAUAUCGAGAGGAACACCUGCGGCGAAGGCGGGUUGCUGGGCUGACACUGACGCUGAUGCGCGAAAGCUAGGGGAGCGAACGGG
rnacentral:rRNA from 1 species